rnacentral:rRNA from 1 species
AGAGUUUGAUCAUGGCUCAGAUUGAACGCUGGCGGCGUGCUUAACACAUGCAAGUCGAGCGGUAACAGGUGUAGCAAUACAUGCUGACGAGCGGCGAACGGGUGAGUAAUGCUUCGGAAUCUACCUAGUAGUGGGGAACAACUAACCGAAAGGUUAGCUAAUGCCGCAUACGACCUACGGGUGAAAGCGGGGGAUCGCAAGACCUCGCGCUAUUGGAUGAGCCGAAGUCGGAUUAGCUAGUUGGUAGGGUAACGGCCUACCAAGGCGACAAUCCGUAGCUGGUCUGAGAGGACGACCAGCCACACUGGGACUGAGACACGGCCCAGACUCCUACGGGAGGCAGCAGUGGGGAAUAUUGGACAAUGGGGGAAACCCUGAUCCAGCGACGCCGCGUGUGUGAAGAAGGCCUGCGGGUUGUAAAGCACUUUUAGUGGGGAUGAAAAGCCCAGGGCUAAUACCCUUGGGUCUUGACCUAACCCAAAGAAAAAGCACCGGCUAACUCUGUGCCAGCAGCCGCGGUAAUACAGAGGGUGCGAGCGUUAAUCGGAAUUACUGGGCGUAAAGCGUGCGUAGACGGUUUCGUAAGUCGGGUGUGAAAUCCCCGGGCUCAACCUGGGAAUUGCAUUCGAGACUGCGAGGCUAGGGUGCGGAAGAGGGAAGCGGAAUUUCCGGUGUAGCGGUGAAAUGCGUAGAUAUCGGAAGGAACAUCAGUGGCGAAGGCGGCUUCCUGGUCCAGCACCGACGUUCAGGCACGAAAGCGUGGGGAGCAAACAGGAUUAGAUACCCUAGUAGUCC